GGCGACGACGGGUAGCCGGCCUGAGAGGGCGACCGGCCACACUGGGACUGAGACACGGCCCAGACUCCUACGGGAGGCAGCAGUGGGGAAUAUUGCACAAUGGGCGCAAGCCUGAUGCAGCGACGCCGCGUGAGGGAUGACGGCCUUCGGGUUGUAAACCUCUUUCAGCAGGGACGAAGCGUGAGUGACGGUACCUGCAGAAGAAGCACCGGCCAACUACGUGCCAGCAGCCGCGGUAAUACGUAGGGUGCAAGCGUUGUCCGGAAUUACUGGGCGUAAAGAGCUCGUAGGCGGUUUGUCGCGUCGUCUGUGAAAACCAGCAGCUCAACUGUUGGCUUGCAGGCGAUACGGGCAGACUUGAGUAUUUCAGGGGAGACUGGAAUUCCUGGUGUAGCGGUGAAAUGCGCAGAUAUCAGGAGGAACACCGGUGGCGAAGGCGGGUCUCUGGGAAAUAACUGACGCUGAGGAGCGAAAGCGUGGGUAGCGAACAGGAUUAGAUACCCUGGUAGUCCACGCCGUAAACGGUGGGCGCUAGGUGUGGGUUUCCUUCCACGGGAUCCGUGCCGUAGCUAACGCAUUAAGCGCCCCGCCUGGGGARGUACGG
rnacentral:rRNA from 1 species